ensembl:lncRNA
UUUUUUUUUUUUUUUUAUUGAUUCAGCUCCACAGAUCCCAGUUUGCUACAUGAUGCAUUUUACUUGUGUUGAGUACUCAUUGGUCUCCUUUGUUACAUCUAGAAUUUUUCUUACCUACCUCCUAAUGUUGCACCAUUUGACAACCACUUAUUACCUACUGGUGAUCUGUUUGUAAUCUGAGGCCUCCCAUAUCAUCCUACACCUGCACUAUCAAGGCCCCUGUUGCCAUCCCAUCCUAGUGGACCUUUAUGCUGCAUUUUAUUUUGAGGUCAUAAAUAGUUUAUUCUACCAGGAAUAACUACCUGCACUUACUGUCUACUUGUUACAAAAGGACAUACAACAAGAAUUUCACCAUGCAAUUGGAUAAAGCACAGCAAAAACUAAGAGAAAGCCAGUAGUAGACACCAGGGCAUUAGAUAAUUGCUCUUACAGGUAAAAAUCUUGACAAGCCCUGGUGCCUGUGCUGCUAGGUUAUCACCAAACUGUGACCUUUCUCAAGCAAUGGCAGCAUCUGAUUUGUGCACCAAAAGGAGAGAAUGUGACUGAGCACUGACUUUUCCAGUACUGACUUUUCCAGUACUACCAGUGAUAAUUGGUUUGAACUGAAACUAAUUAAUAUACACUGCCAAAUCAGUGACACACCUGGCCCGCUGCCCCUUUCUGCUGCUGGACAUUUUCCUUCCUGCUAUGCCAUUUUCUCAGCAUAUUGCUUUCAUAUUUGUCCUUGUUUUUCCCAAGGAGAAGGCUGUGGCUGCUGGUGCUAACUUUUGAAUUUGAGUGAUGGCACAACAGAGGAAGACAAUGAAAGACAACCAAAUGAGAGGAGGUGGGAAAACCAGAAUUAAUAUCCGUAUUGUGAAAGAGGAAAGUCUAAAGUAUACUGUAAGUGUCGGUGGAAGGAGAGGAAUUGUCUUGUAUAUUGGAUAGCUGGAUGAGUAAGGGAGAGAUGAGUGUACCCUAUGAGGAGAUCCAAGCUGGGCUCAGCCUUUUCCCUAAGUCACCUGCAGCCCAACUCAAACUGGGUUCUGCCUGUCUGGUCAACGCAGGAUUAGUCUGGGAAUAAAAGGGACCCCUUGCAAACACUCACGCAGCUCCCGCUCGGAGCAGGCACAAGGCCCUGAUGUAUGCUGGAAGCACCACUCAAAGCCACAACAACACACAGGCAGGACAUGACUGAAGGGGAGGAGGUCAUUAUGCAGCUGCCAUCACCUGCAGCCAUAAUCCUGGCGUAUUGGUUGUGUGACUGUUUCCUCAGAAUCCACUAACUUAUGGAAAUGGUGUAGAUCAAGCUUCCAAGCUGGAAGUUAUAAAUACAUCAGCUUACCCAAAAAUCUUCUGAACUGGAUCCAACAAUAGGCAGACUGCUGAGAUAUUUUUGCCUCCAGGUGUGAAACGGGACACCCACAAAGUGAUAGGGGAGGAAGAAUGAGCACUCUCACUGUCUACUAGGUAACUAUUUUGUUCAUUGCUGUGUGAGUUGUUAGUUAUGAAUAAGAGAACUGUGAGUUGGAAACAUCAUUAAUUAAGUGAUGAAUCAGCGAAUUACCAUGUUAGACUGGUUUCUACAAAGUUUGGAAUUAAGCGAUGAAUCAGUGAAUUGCCAUGGUUUCUCCAAAGUUUGAAGCAUCUGUUUUCUUUCCUAGUGUGUUCAUAGAAUAGAGAUUAAUUUACAUAUUAAUUUUAAUACAUUUUCCUGUCAUUUCAAGGAAUUUCAAUCCAAAUGCAUCAUGGCAACCCUAAUGGAAGGAGUGGCAAACAUCUGGUCUAGUGAAAACUGUAGUAGCAAUGAGCGGUGUUGCAGAUCCAAGUAUUUUGCUUAUGCAACAGGAAUAUCCUGGUUGGGCACAAAUGCAAUGUAGAAUUUCUGUUUAGUAGCUUUGGUGGCUUUUUUGUGAUAUUUGAGAAUUUCCUUAGAUUUUGGCAUCUACCAAGGCAAUUCCAAGCGUGCUAUCAACAGAUAUAAUCUGACAUCUCCUAUUUACUUUGAACCUCAUUGUCCCACUGGCCUCCUUUGACAUCGUGUAUCUCUGGUACUGGGGGAAUCAGAGAGACCUUCUUCCCUCUCCAACAUGAGACCUAUGGUUUCAUAGACUUCUGAAGUGCAUUUCACCCACAUCACAUCUUCUUCAGGUUUAGGAGUCCUACCUCAGUCAUUUCGUGCAUGUAAACUCUUCCAUGCUCACAACCAGUCUUGUUUCUCUCCUCUGAACUUCUCCCAGCAUUAUGUCACUUUAAGUACCAUUUAAACACAGCAGUUUUAAGCUUCUGCCUUUUGAAAGGACACUGCUAAUGAGUGAGUGGCCUACCUUUGCAGGGAGAAUGUGUGUCUCUUGGGACCCAGAUUCAUUAAGUUAAACCUGGACUCAACUGUGGCUGAAACAGAUUCAAAACCUGCCCUUGUUGCAAGAUCUGUACCAUAAAGGUUGAACACAUUUUGUGCGUUUGCAUGCAUUGUUUCAUUAAAUACCUCUAUUCUGUCAUAGAAGUGUGACUGCCCUUGAAAAGACCACAAGUCAUCUUUCUACAGCAGUGUAUGAACAGUAAGUAGGUCAUUAACAUUUGAAAACCAACUGAUCUCUUUCAUCACUAUGUAGAUUCAUAGGAUUAUGAGAUGUGCUUAAAUGUUAUCUGCAUGCUGCCCUUCUUCAAAGUAAAUAUGUCUUAGAAUCUCUGUGGUUGUAUGGUGCUCUUCAGGUUGUUUUGUCCGAUUACAAAAUUCUUUUGCUUGGAAAUAACCUGCAGGAUAAUAGUGAAAUGCUGCUGUGAACUUCAGACAUCUGCAUGGAAAGACUCAGAGACUAAGGGGCAAAUCCAGUGAGCUAUAACUCAAUUUUAAAAUUCUUCAGCUAUACUUGCAUUAGGAAGUUUUACAGGAACAGAUCUUUAGAGUGGAGCCACUGGCACUGAGUUUCCAAUAGCUACACUGUAUUUUAGAGGAUUUAUAUUAGACUUGCCAUCUCUGGCCUGAAUGGCUGUGAGCCUUAGAGAGCCUUUUGUUGCACUCUUCAAUUCAAUCACUCUUCACUCUUCAAUAAACUCAGAUAAAACUAAGCUGAUAAAAUGUGUGCUCUUAGAUCACUGUGACAUGAACUAAAGCACUGUAAACCAUUUUUUCAAAAAGGUGUUACUGGUCAAAAGAUGUGAGGGAUGGUCAAGAGCUCAACAUCUGUGACAGCUGCAUGGCAAAGAUCUGCCUGGGCAAUGCGACCUGAGAGCAUCGAAGCAUUCACUCUUUCUCUGUGGAGCUGUACUGGUACAAAAGUUCUCACAUCACUGCUGCUCACUCCAACAGGAGGUACAAAAGGUGCACCUUCAGAAGUAAUGGUAGGAAUUUUUGGUAGUCCAACUUUAAAGGAAAAAAUUCUCUAGUCUCCCACAGAUCUGGUCUUCUAUCAGCAGGAAUUGGUGGUGCUCUCUCCAGAGUGGCGCACUAACACUCUGUGAUCCCUAGAAGUAUCUUUAUGCUGAUCUAGCUGUGCCUGUGCUUGUACCAAGAUGCAUGCUUUGGGAACUGUUAACCAAAUUUAACCAAAUGCUGUGUACUUCACUAGUGAUGCACAUUGCCUCUAAAUCCCCUUUGCAGCUGGAAAAGUUUGCCCUGCUGUUUGCUUAAAAGUUUGUUGGGUUCAUUGUCCUUUAUAGAACAAACAAGUUGAGCUAAUUUAGAGACUCUUAUAAAGAUGAUGUUCCAAAGCCUCUGCUGCCUAAACAGUUUCAUUUGUAGGAAGACAUUUUCCUUUACUAAGAUAAGCUUAGCACAGGGCCAUUAUAAACCCCACUGCAGCAUACUGAUGAAUUAUUUUCUGCCUUUCAACUGGCUUACGUUAGGUAGCCACAGUUUUUGCAGUGUAAAACAAUACUUUGUGCUCCAAUCAGCUAGUUCUGGAAGAGCUUUUAAGUAAUAAAACCUAUUCCCAAAGCUCUGUUGACCUCAUCAGCAUUACUGGUGCCCAAGAAAAAAAAUACCUUUGCAUUCAGAGACUCAGCAAUGGGGAAGUGUCAUCAUCAAACUGCAAAUUAACUUGCAUCCAACUGUGGUUACAAUUGAAAGUGUGAGAUUAAGCAAAUGGGAAAAGCAACCAUUUUGAGGAAAAGAAAAAGAAAAAAAGCAGACUUUAGACAGGGGGUGUAAGAAUGGAGGAAAGUAAAAGAACAUCUACAUGUGAUUUUUACAUAUUUAGAAACUGAGUAGCAGGAAACAAAUACACCUAGGGACAAUUUUGAGGGAGAGAGGCAGAAGAGGCUAUAUCUAGAACAAAAUGGACAUGCCACCAGGAAAAUGAUUAUGCCACUCUCUUUCUGAAUCUGUAAUUCCUGUCACCAAGCGGAUCUUGGUUCCUUUACAUCACUGCUUAAACAAACAGGGGACAAAUAUGUCUCCUCCUGCAGCACAAGAGGGACUUUAUGUCUCAGACACCUUCUUGGGUGCUUUUCAUCCACAGCAAUUUGUUCAGCCUGUGGGUCUCUUUUGCACAAAACCUGUACCUAGAAAAUAGGUGCUUAGAAACAAAGCAUAGACUCAAAUGAUAAUGAUUGUGGGCCACAGCUGCAGGCUAAAGGUUUCCAAGAUUUUAACAUCAGAUUACCCCUGAUUCUGUCUGCUUUGUCCACAGCUGUAAAGACACUCAUGUCCCAGCAUGUAAAGGCACUCAGAAUUUUUUCCUUCUAGGCAUGUGCCUUGCACUACUGGUGCUGGGUCAAUGUAGAAGACGUUAGGAGAUGACAAAGCCACGUGCUCAGAAACAAGAAUACGUGACGGAUACUAAGUCAGCCCCUUUGCAGGGUGGUCAUCACCACUGUAUAGACCAAUUACACACUUUUUUCCACAUAAAUAGUCUCUCCCUUGGCCAGGAUGGAUGGUGAGGUUGGGCAGGAAGGACUGUGAUCUGAGUUCAGGCCCUGCUUCUUGGAUCCCAGUGUCAUUCCUGCAGGACUGGGGGAAAAUGUAGUGGAUAAGGGAAGAGGUCAAUGGGAGAACAAGGUGAAGGCCAUCACUAUUUAGGCUGUGUGUGCCUUCACUGGCAAUGC